CGUACCUAGCUACCCCUUGCAACCCUUCUACAACCCUUCCAGACCCUUAUAACAAAAAAACCACGUCAUAUUCAAAUCACUCGCCAACCCCUAAACAUCCCUUAUUCCUAUUGCCUUUCUUAAUACUUUCAUUUACAAUAGUUUCGCGUAUUUCGAAGUGUUUUUAUUUGUCAAUUGUGAAUAUUAAAUUAAAUUGUGUCGAAAUCCUUAUCAAGCGUUUAUCCUUUUUUAUCUGUCGCGAAUUAUCGAAAAAAUUGUUUAAUACGUUCUAUGCCAGCGCGCGCGCGAGUCUAUCAAACGGAUUUUAGGCCUAAAUUCACGGCAAUCGCGCGAAUUCGCUAAAUUUUUGCACACGUUUAGAAUUGUAAUUUCUAAUAAGAUUUCAAUAGGCCUGUAAAAGUGACUUUAUUUUUAUUAUCCACGGACCUCAGUAUUUAUGAUUAAAGUGUAUUUUUGUAAAAAAAAACGACUUGAACAUAAAAUUUAUAGACAUUUUAUUGAGUGUCUUUGUUUGGCGUGGAACGGUUUAAGAGAAGGUUCUGUGAAAAUUACAGUUUUGGAUUAUUUCUGGAUUUUAUUCAUAUAUUGAUGCUGUCGAAAAUGGAGUCUAUGGCUGGGUAUGGCUGAGGAUGACGAGCAGAAGACAGCAAAAGUUUUGGAUUUCUGUGAAGGGCUCGUAGCGUAGUGUUUGGAAAAGCAAAACGCUGAAAGUCAACAUUAAGGGAAAUUAACGAGGAAAUUAUUCAGGACAAUGGAUGCAGAUGACGAAAUUCCAAGUGAAGAAAUCUGGACCAGUCGCAGCGGUCAACCGAUGCACGAAUGGUCCAUCACCGAUGGUGAUGUUCCCGUAUGCCUUACUAGGAGUCCAUACGCCAAGGGAAUUCCCUAUUUAUUUCCAUUACUACUACCCUUUUGAAAUGUUAACAUUCAUUACAAUUCAAGUUUACUUAUUCAUUAAAAUGAUGUUCAGAAGCCGGUUUCUAUAAAGGAACUGACGGAUCUAUGCAGAGUCAAUGUGCGACUGAUUUGCGAUUUCCUCGGAAACAACUGAGGCGAUAAGAUCUUUGCUCAUUUCGCAAAUAUUUUCUAAUUACCCGAUUUGUAUUUGAUCAUAUAAUUUAAAAUGGAUGGCGGAAAUUGUCUCGUUUUACCCGUUAAGUUUGUCAGGUAAAGGCUGACCACUUGAAUAUAAAAAGCAAAAUUAAUCAUACACAUGUAAAAGAUGUCCCAUGCCCCGUGGGAGUGUUACAAGACUUCAUACUGUGGAUAUUGGUAAAAGAAAUAUUGUCUUCAAAUUUGUAUUUUCGUCAUUGUACACCUACCCAUAUUUAAUAUAGAAUCACGCUCAGCAGUUAAUAUUUAUUUUGUUGUCUUUGCUUUUUUAACAUAUUCGUUUCGUUUUUAGUUUAAUUUUGUAAUGAGAAAAUGGCGGCUGAACCAUUCUGUACACUACCGUAUAUGUAAAUGCACAUUUUGUUUCUGCUGCCACAUCUACUUAAUGUUUUGUUGACCUAUUAUAAUUUUUCUCCCACUUAGCUUUGGACCCUCUCAACUGGGACCCGUAGACCCGAACUUGUGCGCAAAGUCGUAUGGAAGACUGGACUGCGACGUUUCCGUCUCACGUUUAAAUAACCGCAUCCGUACAAAGUUUCUCGACGGACGACUCUGCCCCUUCUUUUGCCUAUAUCCAGCUUAUUUAAUAUUUCAGCACAAUAGUAUUGCAUUGUGUAGAAGGGAUCGGGAUUAUUAAGGAAAAUGACCGACCCGUCCAUUCUCACCCGCAUUUAGUAUCGCAUUACACCAAAAAUAACUAUUGUCUAUGUCGCUCUAAAGAGUAUAAUCUGUCUUCGUGACGUGAUUUAUAUUUUAGAAAUUCAUAAAAUGUCAAUUGUCAAUUGUCAAAACAAUGUUUGGUCAAUCUCCUUGACGGCGGAAUGCGAAUUUCGUGUUACGGCUUUUAGUCGCAAGUCUACGUCAUCCACACAAGUUUGGUGAUACGCGGGAACAGUUUUGGCGGGAUUUCGACGCUUCAACAUUUUUAGUUACCUUUUUAUUGUGUGUUUUGUGUUAUUUCGUAGAUUUAGUUUCUAUAAUUUUAUAUAAUUAGUUUUCAUAUAGCUAGUUUUUGUGCAAAUAAUGAUUUUAUCUUUUUACUAAAAUGUAGAGUUAAAACUUCUUAAUUUGUUAAUUUAUAAUGUAUUUUUAGUGUUAUCUAGGUAAAAAAGACCAUGUCGGGUUGAGGUAGUAGGUUGUAUAGUACAGUAUUACACCAUUUAGGAGAGACUGUAUAGCCUGCUAACUUUACUCGCUGUGGGACAUUCCACACGAAGACUAGGAAGACCGGAAGCCUACGGAGCAUACUGGAGGACGAGAUAGUAGCAGACAUGGAAAGAAUGGAAAGAAGCGUCCUCUAAAUGAGGAACUGGAGUAGUGUCAAAAGUACUUCAAAUAUAUCUUUGUGUCAAAUGUUAAUAAGCGUAAAUAAUAUUCCUUUCCUUCUCACGGAAAUAGAAUAUUAAUGCUACACAGCACACGAUCCUUCUGUAAAAGGAAUACAAUGAAAUAAUAUUUGUACGUUAAUCGUCUGCCUCAAUGUAAAUAAUAUGUAUGUAAAUGUGUGUUUAUAUUCUUCUCUCUAUUUUUAUUCUUAUUACUAAAGCAGUUUUAGGGAAUAAAUAGGCAGGUUUGAAUAUUGAAAAAACUCAAUAUUCAAGUAGCCAUCGGAAAAAGUACAAAUUCAUCUUUAGGAUAAAGCACAACAGAGUCUGCGGCGAAAACUUAUUGAAUGAAUGAAAAAAUAUUCAAUUCUAAUUCAAUAUUGUUAGGGUUAAUGAAAAUAUAAUAAUAAAACUGAUAACGCAUCGGUUUAUUGAAUCUUGCAAUAAUUAUUGUAUUAUAUAUACUUAUAUACUUCUGGAAGCGACUAAUUUAGUCAUUGUUUUAAUUAAAUUAUACACAGACUAAACCCAAAAUGUAUUUUUUGUAAUUAAAUGAC